CCUACGGGAGGCUGCAGUGGGGAAUAUUGGACAAUGGGGGGAACCCUGAUCCAGCCAUGCCGCGUGUGUGAAGAAGGCCCUCGGGUUGUAAAGCACUUUCAGUGAGGAAGAACGCCUGGUGGUUAAUACCCAUCAGGAAAGACAUCACUCACAGAAGAAGCACCGGCUAACUCCGUGCCAGCGGCCGCGGUAAUACGGAGGGUGCGAGCGUUAAUCGGAAUUACUGGGCGUAAAGCGCGCGUAGGUGGCUUGAUAAGCCGGUUGUGAAAGCCCCGGGCUCAACCUGGGAACGGCAUCCGGAACUGUCAAGCUAGAGUGCAGGAGAGGAAGGUAGAAUUCCCGGUGUAGCGGUGAAAUGCGUAGAGAUCGGGAGGAAUACCAGUGGCGAAGGCGGCCUUCUGGACUGACACUGACACUGAGGUGCGAAAGCGUGGGUAGCAAACAGGAUUAGAUACCCCGGUAGUC
rnacentral:rRNA from 1 species